rnacentral:rRNA from 1 species
AUGGGGAUCCCCAACCUGCUCCGCUUCAUGAAGCCGUUCAUCGAGCCCGUGCACAUCAAGAAGUACGCCGGCCAGCGGGUCGGCAUCGAUGCCUACUCUUGGCUCCACAAGGGGGCCUACUCGUGCAGCAUGGAGCUGUGCAUGAGCCCCAAGAGCGCCGGCGCCAGGCGCUACAUCAGCUACUUCAUGCACCAUGUCAACCUCCUGCGGCACCACAAGGUCGUGCCCGUCGUCGUCUUUGACGGGGGCAGCAUGCCUUGCAAGUCGGCCACGGAUGAAGACCGGCACAAGAAGAGGGAACUCAGUUUGGUGUUGGGGAAAGAAAAGCUUGAGCAAGGAAAUACAGCUGCUGCAAUCGACCUUUUCAGGAAAGCUGUGCAAAUUACUCCAUCGAUGGCUUAUCAACUGAUUCAGAUUUUAAAGACAGAAAAGGUUGAGUUCGUGGUUGCUCCAUACGAAGCAGAUGCACAGUUGGCAUAUCUAGCUACUCUAGAUGCUGAUCAAGGGGGCAUAGCUGCUGUUAUAACAGAAGACAGUGACUUAAUAGCAUAUGGUUGCACUGCUAUUAUAUUUAAGAUGGAUCGCUUCGGAAAUGGUGAAGAAUUCAUAAUGGAGAAAACCUUGGAGACUGUAAAAGAUGGUCUUUGCUUCCAGGAUUUUGAUCAAAACCUUUUUACUGGCAUGUGUAUCCUUGCAGGAUGUGACUUUCUUCCCUCGGUGCCUGGCAUUGGUACUAAAAGGGCAUAUUCUCUCAUCUCAAAACAUAAAAAUAUUGACCUUGUGCUAUCAACCUUGAAGCUUGACAAGCGGUAUUCUGUGCCGGAUGAUUACAUUGAUUCCUUCUGGAAAACUCUGGCAGUAUUCAAUCAUGCUAGAGUAUAUGACGUCAAAAGCAAGUCACUGAAACAUUUAAAACCUUUGGAGGAACGAUAUCUUAACUACUUGGCGGGAGACCUGGAUAUUCUUGGACCAGCGCUAGCCCCAUCAAUGGCAAAAGCGAUAGCAGAGGGGCGCUUGAAUCCUGUUACAAUGGAGACCUUUGACGAAUUCUCCAGAACCAUUAGCCCCAUCGAGCUUAUUGAUACCUCUGCUCUCAAUGUUGCUAAUCAGCAUGGUUCUCAGGAAAUUUUGACACAAGAGAGCUCUAUUACAAUCUGUUCAUCUGAGGAAAGCAGAGAUGACAGCAUAGCAUUUGCUGCUGAUGAGAUUACUAGUGGUGAACAGAGGUGCAACAAAGGAGUCCUUGCCCUUGGCAAGUUUCUACCACAGAAGCAUUCCUCUCCGGCAGUGGAAUGCAAAGAAGUGAAGCCUAAGAACACCCCUGACAACAACCCAUUCAAGAAGAGGAAAUUACCCACUGACCAAGGUAAAGUACCAGAUCAAAACGAGUUGCUAAUCGAUCUGGAUGAAGAAGCAGUUGUAUUGUGCUCAUCAUUGUCACGAGAGAGUGUUGGUCCAGCAGAAUCUCUUGAUAGAAAUGGAGUGUCAGCUGGAUUGUGUUGGCCAUUGACACAAGAAAGUGUGGCGUCUAUUCCGAAUGAGAGAUCAUCUAAGAGGCAAAGUCAGCAGGAAGCUUUCAGGAAUAAAACCAACAAAAAUAAAGAUGAAAGGAGUGGACUUUUGAAAUUUUUCAUGCGUUUGUAA